UCAUGCUUAUGUAUUCAGCUUCUUGUACAGGUAAAGGACUUAAUUACUGUAUAUCUAACAUUUCUGACUAUAUUUUGCUGUGCUAAAUCAGAAACUGGUAGUGACAGAACUUGGUUUAAGUGUUAUCAAUUUGCAAUGGUUCUAUUCCUUAUAUUAAAAAAAAAAUCCUGAAGCUUCUGUCUAAAGAAAAUGGUUUGGAAAUGUUAGGGACUAAUGGCACCAAUUUUUUAAAAAAUGCAAGGAAAAUAUGACAAUAUGACAGCCAACUGGUGGGUGGAUCAGUCAAUCCCAAUUAAUCCAUCUCUUUGCCGCUUCAUUUUUUGGUUUUCUUGCUCCACAUUUAUCAAGUAAUCAAGCAGAAUCAAAACUGAUGCAUUUCUCUCCCACAUCAAAAUACAUUAUUCCAAGGUAUAUUUAGGAACAAGUGAGCUUAGGAACAGCAACCAUUGGUGGCCGCCAGACACUUAAAUUUGCAGAGAGGGGCCAAAUGCCAAAGUGGGUGGGGAUCAAAAUCUUCAUUGCUUGCUGCCAAUGAUUUAGCCUGAAGGAUCAGACAAGUUUCUUGUCUAUGGUGGGUGGAGGUGGGAAAGAAUGUGAGCACCUGGCGGCACUGACUCAGGAGUUCCUACCAGGUACAGCCAUCAUUAGACAUUCAUCUGCAACUCCACCAAGUAAAUGAGUUGCACUUGGGAAGAAGAAGGGAAUAGGACUAGCAAUGAAUGGGAACCAUAAGGAUGGAAACCCUGAGACAGAGCUAUUGAGUGGGAGCUGUAAACAGGUGUUAGUCUUUGUUAUUGCAACAGGCCAGCUAAGCUCUCUGACCCUCAAAGAUAAGAAUGGAGUUAUGGCUGUUUUUUUUUUAUUCAACAUGAUCUACCAUGAUAUUUUGAUAGUAGGGAGAACUUUUUCAUCAUGCAAGUGCUGUUGGUCUUACUAUAAAUUUUUAAAAUUAUUUUAAAAGACUAUCUCAAUAAAUCCUAUCUACAUCAUAGUAAUUUUUUUCAGCUGGCAAAUAAUGAAAAAUCCAAAUAAAUACCCAAACUGCAUACAUAGAAAAAAGAUUCUAAAGGCUCUUCUUGACAAAGAACCAGAAAUCAAUAACAAACAAGAAUUCAUAUCACACAGUAUGACAAAUCCCAGAGAUAGCAGCAGUCAUUGAAAUUAAUGAAAGGACCUAAACAAAUUUCCUAAAUGACAAAUAACUCUAUAAGUUUCCUUGUACAGAGAGUUCCAGCGAUAAGGUUUUACUGCAGAGACAACUGGAGCAGCUAUAUCCAGAAUGUGACCUAAACCUUCUUGUUUAGACAAGCGGAGACCUUAUAGAGACUGAAUCCAGGGCACUUGUUGUAUUCCCUGACAUGCAUACUCCAAAACUUAUUAAAAUACUUCUUAUGAGCCUGAAGCCUUUUUUACAUUUUGUUUCCAGUUCUGGCUUGUGGUACAUGUUUAGUCCUAUUUUGCUGUUCUAUCAAAUCCAGAAACUUUAACCAGGUUUGUGUGCAAAAUUCUGAAUUGGGUUAAUACAAUAAUUCACAGGGUCUGGACUCUCACCUCAUGUUUUUAAUAACUGUAGGAUAGAAAGAUGCAGCAGGUUCAGCUUAUUCCCAAGGUUGGAAUACACCCCAAGAGGGGUAAUCUUUAAGGCCACGCAGGACCUCAGAUCUGAUUGUUCAAAAAUACUCUGGAAACUGCAGGGAUGGGAAGACACCCAUGCCUUUUCCCUGGGAUUACUAGGAGCUGCUUUUAGGUGUUUCAGACGAGUAUUACAUUCGUAUUCCUAUGUGCUCUGAAUCACCUUCUAGAACAGACUUGCACAACUUGUAGAGGGAAAAAGGCCACAGUGAUAAAUUAAAAAUCCUGAGCCGAAAAGGAAUACUAGGUGCACUAGCUAUGUGGCGUCUAGCAGUGCUGGAGUCAGCAGUGGCAGUGAGGCAUUCGAGCUGCUUGGCAGUGCAUCUUUUGGGCUGGUGGCAACAGUGGUGGUGAAUUUAAAAAGAGUGGUGGUGAAUUGGUUUUAAAAAACAUCAGCAGAUUUCUUGGCAGACCGCAUGGUCUUUAGACCUGUUUUAGAGAUUGAAUCCAGGGCACUUCCCAGUUCCAAUAAGAGCUUCAUCUAUUAGUAAAACCAGCAUAGCGUUUUGCAACAUUGUUGAGGACUAAUAAUUGUAUGAUUGUCUAAGCUUCUGUGGAUGCAACUGUAUCUAUUACCAGGGUCAGCACUAUUUUCUGAAAGACUCAUAAUUCAAAAGUAUGAAUAGACCCCACUUAACAGACUGUUAUGUAGCAACAGCACCUCUUAAAAAUUAAGCAAACUCUGGGCAAUGUCAGGAAAAAAAAUGUGUUUAUAGCUCCCUGCCAGUUUCUGACUCAUGCUUUUGUUUGUUGCUAUAGAACCAGCCACAAAUCCAUCAGUCGAAAGGCAUGUUUAUGUCCAACUUUGUCUGAAAAAUGGAAAUUGAGGAAACAAUACAAGAAGACUGAAAAAGGAAAUGCCUACUUAGGCACCCAAUCUACCCAAAUCUUAAACUAAGAGAGUGAAAAGUAUUUAAAGAUGGGAGAAAGAAAGAAAAAAAGAAAGAAAGAAUAUAUGGGUUUCCCUUUUUUCUUUCUAAACUUAGUUUUACAAAAGGAAAAAUGAAAAGUAAUCUAUAACAUAGAAAGCAUAACAUAACAUAGAAAGCAGCUGAUAACAUUACUGCUAUUCUAGCUAUUUCUCAGAACAAAAAAAAGCAGCUUCCAAUUUCCUUCUGGCUUGACUGACAGCCAAUCAAGGGACACCAGUCUACUUAGCCUCUGAAGGGCUGGGGUGUCACUGGUCUACUGAACCUCUGGACAGUGGUGUGGCAGUAUGCAACACUGAAACAAGCACAUAUUUGUCAAAUUUCAAUCCCAUGGGAUUCUCAUUGGAUUCUGUAAACUAGCUCAUUUGAAGUUACAAAUUGCUGAAUUUUUGGUUCAAAAGUAUGAACUGUUUCAUCCAGUUAAAGUUACAGACAUGAGAGUCUCAGUAGAAUAGAGAUAAGCUACUUGAGGGGGCUAAUAUCUUGAUCAGUGUUUCUCAUGCUGGCAGAGAAAUUCUGGGAGUUGAAGUCCACACAUCUUCAAGUGGCCAAGGUUGAGAAACACUGAUCUAGAUGAACUGAUAAAGAUUCUUUUAGACACAGCUUUAACUUCCAGUUCUGAACUUCUUAAUGGAAUCUAUCCUCCCUCCUACAUUGGAGACACAGUUAAGAAUAAGAUGGAAUUGUGUGGAACAUUAAUUGUAGAUAUGGUUCUACCGUAAAAAGAAAACACAAUUAAGCUUUUUUCCUAGCAUUUACCUGUUAAUAUAGAUUUUGUACGAAAAGCCUUGCAACAAGGGCUUGUUAUGGUUUCAUUUUGAAAUAAAACUUUUUUUGAGCUUAGAAACUUUCUGCCAGAGUCAUUGUUACACACAGAAGGAAAAACUAACUAAAAAACUAACCUUAACUUCUGUUUCCCCAGAUUUUUCUCUAUGGUGUAUUCCCAAAUUAACUUCUGAACCAAGUAUAUAUCAUUCUCUUGGGGACAGUUUUAUCAGGAAAUGUAUAUGAAGAGCCAAUAGAAGUACUGGAGCAAUAUUGGAUCAUAAUAUAUUUUCUCACUAUUCAAAAGCCUUAUGUAUGUACAGUGGACAAGCAGAUUGUAGAUCUUUUAUGCAGUGGUUCUGCUCUAAAAUGACUUUACUCUUACACAGAAGGUAACAUAUACAUUUGAUUCUUACUUCUUAUUUUGGAUAAGCGAAACUAAAGCAUAUGUUUCAGCUAGGACAGUGGUUCUCAACCUAUGGUUUGCGGACCAGUGGGGGUUUGUGAUGUCAUCAAAGAGGGUCCGCAAAGACUUAAAUAAAUAUUAUGAUUUAAAUCUUGAAUUAAAUCUUGGUGGUCCGUGGCCAUGAUCCCUGGCUACAAAAGGUAUUUAAAAGAGGUCCGUGGUGAAGAAAAAGUUGAGAACCACUGAGGGGAUUGCUGGAAUCCAUUUGAUCUGAACAGCAUAAAUGGUGAAAGAGAAUUAAUUCUGCAGCCCAAACUUUUAAAAAUAUCUUGUGCAACUCCCUUUAAAAAAAAUAAAAUCCAGAAAUACCAGAAAUGCAGCUUUAUGGGUGCCCUGGAAUUUUACUGCUGGCAGAUUUUUUUAGUCAGGGUGAGUAAUACUAUCUCACAGAAGCUCUUCUGUUGUCAAAAGGAGAUGUAGGCUAUAGGUGUUUUAUUACUUCCUUACAGGUAGGUUGUACAAUUGUACAAUUUCAGUUUUACAGUAUGUGUCUUAGACCUCUCCUACUUCUGGCAAGAAUCCUAUUUAAAUCAAAGCAGGUAAUUCUUCCAGGGCCAAAAUGGCCUGUGACCAGCAUGGCUAAUGCCUUACUUUGGAACAGACCUGCCUAACUUUUGACCCACAAAGAUGAAUGCCAUUCUCCAGCUGAAUACAAUGCCACCUUUUGUCUUAGCAGCUCCAAGCUAGCAUCAAAAACAAUUUUCUUGAGCCUCUGGAAGUCUGCCAGCCAUAAAGAAAUUUAUUAUUUAGUGCCUGGAUUUAUCAUUUUAUUUUAUAUAAUUAUCUGUUCUUUCCAGUAAAAAUAGUGCCCCCAAAUAAAAUAUGAAUGCACAAAUUAUAAUUAAUCUUACAAAGUACCUGGAAAUAUGAUUAAGAAGAUCUGUGUUAAAGAAAGAAAAAGCAGUUUCAAUCAGUUAAAAUCUUUAAAAUCAAAACCCUUUGAUAAAGAAAACCACUUUGCUGGAAAUAAAAGUAUGGAGCUAUCUGCCCCCCCAACAAUCAACUAUUUGUUAAGCAUGCUUCUUGUCUUCCUGUGCGCCAUACACAUAUACAUGUACACAUCAAAGUAAAUUUGGCAAAGCAUAAGUAGGUAGAUGAAAAAGAGGGAAAGUAUUGGUAUGUUCUUCUGUUCUAUUAAGCAUUUUAAAUUAUACAAUAAUUAAAUGCUGCAAUCAGAACAUAUUACGUAAUGUCAAUAAAUUUUGUCCUUUCUUGAUGUAUGUAACUUCCUUUUUGAGAAAUCUCAUUAUUUUUUUCUCCUCUUUUCACUUCCUGUCAACUGCAUAGCAGCACAAAUUGAAGCUAACCACUCCAGAAGAACUUGGAAAGGAAGAAAUUUAUAGAUAUUUUAAAUCUAUAAAACCAAAACACCAUCUCAACCUUCAGGGAGUUAUGAGUGAAAAUUGGGUUCUUGAAGAAUAUGCAAAUUAGCUCAAACUAAAGCACAAAUUAUGGAGAAAAGUCUUUCCUUAAUGUGUCUUGUCUAUUUGCUGAUGCUUCCUCUGUUCUUCUCUAUUCAUCCUACAAUGUUUUAUACCAAUUAGCUUAUUGAUUUUUGCUUAAUUUGAAUAUUCUUGAAUGCUUCACUUUCAAAAAGUUGUAAAGAUGGAGCACACGAAAUAGCAAAGAUUUAAAAUAUAACAGUACAAUAUCUAAAUGUCCUAAGAAAGUUAAUACUAUAGAGAAUUUUAUUUGUAAAAAGUAAUUUUAAAGUGUCUACGCAAUAAUAAAGUUUGGAUCUCAUGAAA